CAGCAGUUUUAAAAAAGAUUUUAAGAUUAAUUUUUUUGCUCCUCUCACUCUAGCAGUUGAGCUGCCUCACUCUAGCCCCAACAUUCCGUCCCAUAGACACCCAUUAUAAACUCUGAAACGGGUGAAAAAACAUCAUGAAACUUAAACUGGAACUGAAGAAAAAGUAUAAUAGAUAUUGAAAAGAUAAAUACAAGUUGAAUAGUUGAAUGUCUUGUCUUCGUUUUAAAGUUUGAAUGGUGGCUCUAUGUCAAUGUAUGUGGAAGUAGAUACAGUUUAAAGAGGAGGAAGUUGAAUGAGAAUUUGAAGGGUCUCCCCAUUGAAAUACAUUAUAAAUUUUUGUUGAAAAAAGUUGAAUAAAAUUAAAAAUAUAAAUGUUAAAAAUGAGAAAAAUAGAAGCAAUGUUGUCCAAAAUAAUAGGAAUCUAACGGUGUUUGAAUGGUUUUUCUAAGUUGAACGGUUUUGAAGGAGUAGGCUUUCAAAAAACGUACGGAAAAAUAAAAUAUAACUAGAAAGUGCAUUUUCUGAAGAAACUGCAGUGUGAAUGCUUGAAUCUGAAUGUAUGUGCUGAAAUGAAUUAAUUGCUGAAUUUAAGUUAAAAAUGUUGAAUGAGAUGAAAAAUACAGAAAUUUUUGCCUGAAAACAAAAGUGCUGAACUGCUAAAAUCUGACACUCACACAGAAGAAGAAGUUGGAAAAUAGUUGAAAAUGUUUUAAAUGUAAAUUAGAAAACCCUAAGAAAUGAGAAAAGAACAUUUAGAGUCAGAAAACAUCUGAAUGAAUAUUAAAAGUUCAUAUUCUUUGAAUAACUGAAUGACUAAAAUGUGAUCCCUCCACUUGGAUCCACACAGUUUAAAAAUUUUAAAUGUCUGAGCUUUGAAAGACACGGUGUUGGAAAGAGAAGAACGAUGGCGAUGUUUUGAGGGUAAAAUGAUGGCUGUAGAGCAAACACUGUGGACACAGCAGCAGUUGAAAGAGAAGUGUUUAAGAUGAAUCUUGGCAGAGAGAGAGAGAGCUCGUUAAGCAGGCAGGUGUGAGCCUGGUUGCUAUAGUGACUGCACCCAAUGGCUCCAUACACACGGACACAGACAUGCACCUCACUUUUGCUGCUUAAAAUGAACAGAAAAGUCAGGCCCAAACAAAUUCUUCCCAAAUGAAAAGUACAUGUCGUAUUGACAAAAUUCUUUCACCGUGAGCGACAGCCAUGUCUAGUCUACCAAAUUCUCAGUUUUCAUGCCUGUGGAGUUUAUUAUAUGGACGUGGUGACAGUGGAAAGACACCAUGCUCUUCUGAUUUUCAAACGAACCUUCUGAGCCAUUUUAACAUUAGAGUCUAUGGAAGAGUUGGAGGGAGGAGGCUGUGCAUUGGUGACAUUUAUGAAAGAACCAUAACACCUAGGACAAUAGUAAACACAUUGGAUGAAAGAGGACAGCCAUGGCUACGUUUUGAGGGUAAAAUCAUACCUGUAGAGCAAACGCUGUGGACACAGCAGCAGUUUUAAAAAAGAUUUUAAGAUUAAUUUUUUUGCUCCUCUCACUCUAGCAGUUGAGCUGUCUCACUCUAGCCCCAACAUUCCGUCCCAUACACACCCAUUAUAAACUCUGAAACGGGUGAAAAAACAUCAUGAAACUUAAACUGGAACUGAAGAAAAAGUAUAAUAGAUAUUGAAAAGAUAAAUACAAGUUGAAUAGUUGAAUGUCUUGUCUUCGUUUUAAAGUUUGAAUGGUGGCUCUAUGUCAAUGUAUGUGGAAGUAGUAAGAGUUUAAAAAUGAGUAAGUUGAAUGAGGAUUUGAAGGGUCUCCCCAUUGAAAUACAUUAUAAAUUUUUGUUGAAAAAAGUUGAAUAAAAUUAAAAAUAUAAAUGUUAAAAAUGAGAAAAAUAGAAGCAGUGUUGUCCAAAAGAAUAGGAAUCUAAUGGUGUUUGAAUGGUUUUUCUAAGUUGAACGGUUUUGAAGGAGUUAGAUGCCAAAAAACGUACGGAAUAUAUAAUAAUAACUAGAAAAUGCAUUUUCUGAAGAAACUGCAGUGUGAAUGCUUGAAUCUGAAUGUAUGCACUGAAAUGAAUUAAUUGCUGAAUUUUGAGUUAAAAAUAUUGAAUGAGAUUAAAAAAAAAAAAAAAAAAAAACGAAUUUAACCUGAAAACAAAGGUGCUGAACUGCUAAAAGCUGAAGGUUACACAGAAGAAGGAGUUGGAAAAAAACUGAAAAUGUUUUAAAUGUAAAUUAGAAAACCCUAAGAAAUGAGAAAAGAACAUUUAGAGUCAGAAAACAUCUGAAAGAAUAUCAAAAGGUCAUAUUCUUUGAAUCACUGAAUGACUCAAAUGUGAUCCCUCCACUUUGAUCCACACAGUUUAAAAAGUUUAAAUGCCUGAGCUUUGAAAGAUACGGUGUUGGAAAGAGAACAAUAAUGGCGACAAUUUGAGGGUAAAAUGAUGGCUGUAACACUGUGGACACAGCAGCAGUUGAAAGAGAAGUGCUUAAGAUGAAUCUUGGUACAGUGGCAGGCAGAGCUCGUUAAGCAGGCAGGUGUGAGCCUGGUUGCUAUAGUGACCGCACCCAAUGGCUCCAUACACACGUACACAGACAUGCGCCUCACUUUUGCUGCUUAAAAUGAACAGAAAAGUCAGGCCCAAACAAAUUCUUCCCAAAUGAAAAGUACAUGUCGUAUUGACAAAAUUCUUUCACCGUGAGCGACAGCCAUGUCUAGUCUACCUAAUUCUCAGUUUUCAUGCCUGUGGAGUUUAUUAUAUGGACGUGGUGACAGUGUAAAGACACCAUGCUCUUCUGAUUUUCAAACGAACCUUCUGAGCCAUUUUAACAUUAGAGUCUAUGGAAGAGUUGGAGGGAGGAGGCUGUGCAUUGGUGACAUUUAUGAAAGAACCAUAACACCUAGUACAAUACUAAACACAUUGGAUGAAAGAGGACAGCGAUGGCUACGUUUUGAGGGUAAAAUCAUACCUGUAGAGCAAACGCUGCAGACACAGCAGCAGUUUUAAAAAAGAUUUUAAGAUUAAUUUUUUUGCUCCUCUCACUCUAGCAGUUGAGCUGCCUCACUCUAGCCCCAACAUUCCGUCCCAUACACACCCAUUAUAAAUUUUGAAACGGGUGAAAAAACAUCAUGAAACUUAAACUGGAACUGAAGAAAAAGUAUAAUAGAUAUUGAAAAGAUAAAUACAAGUUGAAUAGUUGAAUGUCUUGUCUUCGUUUUAAAGUUUGAAUGGUGGCUCUAUGUCAAUGUAUGUGGAAGUAGUAAGAGUUUAAAAAUGAGUAAGUUGAAUGAGAAUUUGAAGGGUUUCCCCAUUGAAAUACAUGGGAAAUUUUUGUUGAAUAAAGUUGAAUAAAAUUAAAAAUAUAAAUGUUAAAAAUGAGAAAAAUAGAAGCAGUCAUGUCCAAAAUAAUAGGAAUCUAACGAUGUUUGAAUGGUUUUUCUAAGUUGAACGGUUUUGAAGGAGUUAGAUGCCAAAAAACGUACGGAAUAUGGAAUAAUAAUAAAGAUUUGAAGAACAAUACUGUGAAUGCUUUUCAAGCAUUCACACUAAUAAUAAAGAUUCGAAUAACAAUACUGUGAAUGCUUUUCAAGCAUUCACACUAAUAAAACGUCGCAAGCCAAGCAGUUUGGAAGGGUUUUGAAAGCUGUAUGUAGUAUAUAAGCUAUGAGCCGGGCAAUGCGAGGCAAGUCAGAAGGCUCAAAGGUAUAAAGUAUAGAGUCAGUGAGUGUUUUUGUGUUGGAGCUUCAGGUUCAGCAAAUGAACUCUUCUAUAUUGGUGUGAUUCAUGUGACUUUUUCCUCCUUAAGUACCGCCCACUGGAAAACAGUUUGUAUAAAAAUCUUCUCUUUGGCUGUUUUAGUUUGGAAAUCAAUCUUACCCAAUCAGAUUGUACAAACUGUUAUAGACAGUUAUUAUAUAUAGACAGGUAUUUCUCUCUCUCUGAUCUCUCUGAGAAGCUUCAACCUUUCUUUAAUCAGCAGUGUGAUGAACUGAUGCUCUGAUCUCUGGUCUGACCAAAGCUUUAACUCCAAACAUCUCUCCACUGUUAGAGCUUCUGCAUUGUUUCAGGUUCAAAUCAUGGUUCAUAUUUUCAUUGCCUGAUGGUGUGACGCCUCCACCUACAUCACUGAACUGCUCCACUUCUGUACUCUUCUCUCUGUGGCCUUCUUGAAACAGCCUCUUGGUGUUUGUGGGGUUUUUCUCAGUUCAUGUGUGCCACUGUUUUUUUUUUAUGAAAACUAUUAGUAUAUCUCUGUAAAUAAGACUUUUUAUAUAUAUAUAUAUAAAAACAAUGAUAAUGAGUCUAUUUGUUGAAUGAGUGAAUAAAAUAUGAUCAGUAUGUAAGUGUUAAUAAAGAGUUAACACA
ensembl:lncRNA